UACGGAGGGAGCUAGCGUUGCUCGGAAUCACUGGGCGUAAAGGGUGCGUAGGCGGGUCUUUAAGUCAGGGGUGAAAUCCUGGAGCUCAACUCCAGAACUGCCUUUGAUACUGAAGAUCUUGAGUUCGGGAGAGGUGAGUGGAACUGCGAGUGUAGAGGUGAAAUUCGUAGAUAUUCGCAAGAACACCAGUGGCGAAGGCGGCUCACUGGCCCGAUACUGACGCUGAGGCACGAAAGCGUGGGGAGCAAACAGG
rnacentral:rRNA from 1 species